AAUAGAUACCCGGGUAGUCCACGCCGUAAACGAUGAAUGUUAGCCGUCGGGCAGUUUACUGUUCGGUGGCGCAGCUAACGCAUUAAACAUUCCGCCUGGGGAGGUACGGUCGCAAGAUUAAAACUCAAAGGAAUUGACGGGGGCCCGGCACAAGCGGUGGAGCAUGUGGCUUAAUUCGAAGCAACGCGCAGAACCUUACCAGCCCUUGACAUCCCGAUCGCGGAUUACGGAGACGUUUUCCUUCAGUUCGGCUGGAUCGGAGACAGGUGCUGCAUGGCUGUCGUCAGCUCGUGUCGUGAGAUGUUAGGUUAAGUCCCGCAACGAGCGCAACCCUCGCCCUUAGUUGCCAGCAUUUAGUUGGGCACUCUAAGGGGACUGCCGGUGAUAAGCCGAGAGGAAGGUGGGGAUGACGUCAAGUCCUCAUGGCCCUUACGGGGCUGGGCUACACACGUGCUACAAUGGUGGUGACAGUGGGCAGCGAGACCGCGAGGUCGAGCUAAUCUCCAAAAAGCCAUCUCAGUUCGGAUUGCACU
rnacentral:rRNA from 1 species